rnacentral:rRNA from 1 species
GAUGAACGUUAGCGGGAGGCUUAAUACAUGCAAGUCGAGCGGUAAGUUUUUAUAGCAAUAUGAAGGCCUAGAGCGGCGCACGGGUGAGUAACGCGUACACGACCUGGCCUAAACUGGGGGAUAGCCUUGGGAAACUGAGAGUAAUCCCGCAUGUGAUUAUGUUACUGAUGGUGAUAUAAUUAAAGCUUCGGCGGUUUAGGAUGGGUGUGCGUCUGAUUAGCUAGUUGGUAGUGUAACGGACUACCAAGGCGAUGAUCAGUAGGGGGCGUGAGAGCGUGACCCCCACCACGG